GUACUCACUUCAUCAGCACAUAUACAGAAAUUGGAAUGAUACAGAGAUUAGCAUGGCCCCUGGACAAGGAUGACACACAAAUUUGUAGAGUUCCAUAUUUUU
ensembl:snRNA U6 U6 spliceosomal RNA